AAAAAAAGAUCACAUUUUUGAUAACGGACAUCUUAUAUGGGCUCUACCUGCUCUUCCUUCCUUCACAUGAACAUUUGAUGUUGCCCAAGCAGGGAGUACCCCUUUAAGAACAACUCUGAGACUGUAAUAAUUUUGGAAAGUGGUUUUGGAACUGUGCAGGAAAAACUCAAAAACAAGCGCCAUCAACAUCCAACUAAAGGGCAAAAUGAAUAGGGGUAAGGGUCGUCUGCAAGGUCAAGUUGUGCUAGACCAGGCCAGGAAUCACACAUGUAGAAUCACAUGGAUCUGGAUGAAGCUUUUCUUGAUGUCUCACACGACAUGCAUCAAACAAACAACUUCUCCAAUCAUUAGGAAAUUAACAGUCUAAACCGGCGGAUGGAGAUGGAAGAAAAGAAUCUGUGUGUUAUUUUAUAUCUAUUUUAUUGUAGUACUGUGACACGUUUCCAGGUUGGUCCGACUUCAUCUUCAGGCAUAACCCUGAUGAAGAGGUUGGACCGACCUGGAAACAUGUCUCACUACAACAGGACUCUGGGGAAGAACAGUUGAUGCUGGAAUGUAGAAGCCAUGAAAAACAUUGAAAUGCGAUAGAUAUAAUGCAAAUAAUGGAAAGAGUAUGCUUUGAAGAGCCUUUCUACCCUGAGAGAGAGCGUUUCCAUGAGCUAAUUCCCCCCAGAAAUUGUCACCUCAUCAUUUUUAAUGAGCGUUCCGCUGUCCUCAACGUGACUGUUGACUUUCUAAUGCAUGGGUAAACUAAUCCAUCAGUAAGUGUCUCCCAUAUGUUGUGUAUCUUUGAAAGUAUCACCACAUGUGGGCAACAAAUUCCCCCUACAUAGUAGAAGAGCCAUAGCUAGCACUGACCCUGGCACAGCGCAAUUGGCUCUAAUUAGAACCACAUUAUUUUCCAUCUCUGUGCUGAGGUCGCAGCCGGUGCCAAUGAUAAUUUUACAGACUUGUUGCUGAAAUUUAUAGGCGGAAACAUUACACAUAGUCAAUAGAAAGACAUUAAUGAAUUUAUGGCGGACGCAAAGCACCACAUAUAUGCAGUAAACACGAUUCACUCUAAAACCCACUGGCUUAAUAUAUCUGCUAGUCAAGAAAAAAAAAGAGUCUCAGUGCCAGAUUAGGGUUAUUUUUUUGCAUUGUCCAUCAGAACUACAUGUCGGGGGAUUCCUUAAAAGGGUACUCCACUGGAAAACAUUUUCUUCUAAAUCAACUGG